rnacentral:rRNA from 1 species
CCUACGGGCGGCUGCAGUGGGGAAUAUUGCACAAUGGAGGAAACUCUGAUGCAGCGACGCCGCGUGGAGGAAGAAGGUUUUCGGAUCGUAAACUCCUGUUGUCGGGGACGAUAAUGACGGUACCCGACAAGAAAGUGACGGCUAACUACGUGCCAGCAGCCGCGGUAAAACGUAGGUCACAAGCGUUGUCCGGAAUUACUGGGUGUAAAGGGAGCGCAGGCGGGGAGAUAAGUUGGGAGUGAAAACUAUGGGCUCAACCCAUAAAUUGCUUUCAAAACUAUCUUUCUUGAGUAGUGCAGAGGUAGGCGGAAUUCCCGGUGUAGCGGUGGAAUGCGUAGAUAUCGGGAGGAACACCAGUGGCGAAGGCGGCCUACUGGGCACCAACUGACGCUGAGGCUCGAAAGUGUGGGUAGCAAACAGGAUUAGAUACCCCAGUAGUC